CCUAUUCAUCUUCUUCCCACACUUCCGUUUUCUCUCAGAUCUACUCAAUCUUUAUUCACCGGAAAAUUGCACAUCCACCGGAGACACGUCUCUUACCCCCAAAUCUACCAUCUCCGUCUUCUCAGUUGACCACCAAGCACUCAUUACCCUCAAAUUUGUCAUCUCUAUCGAAGCUUUCCUAAACGAUCAAGGUGAAAUCCAGAUUUGUUUAUCCGACGAAGACGAUGGCGCUGUCCACCACUAGAGACUUCCCCCCGCCUUCUCCGAUGAAGGGUUUUCUGAUGGUGCCAUAUUUGUUCGAUCUACGUUUAUGAAGGGUUGUAGCUCCGAUAUCCGAUCUAUGUUUUUAUCUCUUUUUGUCUUCUCUUGUGUCUCUUCAAAUCCCUCUACCGACUUCAGGUGGUGGUGGUUAUGCUUCAGGCGACGGUUCUAGAGCCAUAACUCUCCUUAUGGAUUUCAUUGACUGGUCAUUUCUCUCCUAAGAUUUCUCGUUCUAAAAGGGUCGGAAAUCCCCAACUUUGUUCGUCUGCCGCAGAAAACAACUAAAAUCGUGAUCUAGAUUUGAGAUUUGUUAUUGCUAUGUUUGUUAUGUUUCUUUCCUUCUUCUUCUUCUUUUUCUUCUAUCUAGAUUGUAGUUUUUGGGUUUGUUUGAAAUAUUUGUUGAUGUCGAUUCAGGUGGUGGUCAAGGGCAGUUCAUCAGAUCAGGAAAAAUGAUUUAUGGGUUUGUGAAUGUGAUGUUCUUGUUCUUGAACUCAGAAAAAAUGAGUGUUCUUGAGAUCAUAUUCAUAUUUGUGUGUGUAUGUUUUUAGUUCUAAUCGACUUCACAGCUAAUGAGAUUGAGCUUUGUUUCCUUUGUUUAAAUCAAAUUAAUCUUGAUGUAUGUGUAACUGUAUAUGUGUGUGUUUUGAGUUUGGAACAUUUGUAAACUUAAUCUAAUAAAUUGAACAAAAUCGAUAAAAGUAAAGGUUCUUCGUUUUGCAAAUCCACUUCCAGACAUGUGUUAAAUUUCUUUGUGUUUCAUUUCAGAUCUAAAAUCAAGAACGAAGAACACCCAUUGUGGAUUUGGAUUUGGGAUGUUGGAUGGUGGUGGGUCAUGGCAAGGGGAGGUGGAGGAGCUGCCACAGUCGACUGUGGUGACUCUCUUCGCCGGAGAAGUGAGAAACGAGGGAGAUAGACGGGUUAGAGAUGAGAAGGAGGUCGAGGAGAUAUAUAUAUAUAUAUAUAUAUAUAUAUAUAUAUAUAUAUAGAGAGAGAGAGAGAGAGAGAUUUUUUUCUUUUUGUGAUUUCUGUAAUAAAAAAAUUGAAAAAAGGGAAAAUACCAAGGGCAAAUCCGUCAUUAUAAAAAGUUUAAAAAUUUUUGGACUAAACUCGCAACAAAAUGAAACUAUUGGACCAUCCUUGCGAGUCAAACCUAUUUUGGAUCAAAGUUACUAGUUUUGACAUACCACAAGGACCAUUCUUGUAAUUUUGUCUAAAAAGAAUGAUACAUGCACCAUGUAGAUAAGGAAUGCAAAUUGUGGUUGAAGUGGACAUGAAGCAAUUAAUGAUACAUGUCCAUUAAAUUCAGAAAUCCGUACCAUCCAAUUGAUUAAUUAACGGUAUACAUGUAUUUUGGUGAAUGGCUAACGUUUGAGAAUUGUACGGUACGGAGCUAUCUACAAGUCGGUUUACAUUCUAGUACUAUAAAUAGGAGAAUCACCUUUAAGCUUUGAUCAUACUAUCUAAUCACAGUUUUAGAGAGAAUAAAGCAAAGGUGUGGUAAAGCACAUGGGGCUUUAGAGGGGGCAAAGUGGGCAACCGUACAAGGACCGGCUCUGGUAAAACGUAAUUACAAAUAUUAAAAGAUCAAUGGGUUAUUGUAAGGACUAUAUUUGGAUGUAGGUUAGAUAUCCGUUAUAUCAUGCGAGUACUCGUAGUAAAUGAUUUUAUAAAUGUUAUUUAUGUGAAAAUGUUUACUCUCACUAAAUUUUCGAUUAUAUGUUAUGGAUGAAUUCAUGGUCC